GAGCAAUGGGCGCAAGCCUGACUCAGCAACGCCGCGUGGAUGAAGAAGGCCUUCGGGUUGUAAAAUCCUUUUCUGGGGGAAGAUAAUGACGGUACCCCAGGAAUAAGUUCCGGCUAACUACGUGCCAGCAGCCGCGGUAAAACGUAGGGGACGAGCGUUAUCCGGAUUUACUGGGCGUAAAGCGCAUGUAGGUGGCUUGAAAAGUUGGACGUGAAAGCUCCCGGCUUAACUGGGAGAGGUCGUUCAAAACUGGCAAGCUUGAGGUUGGAAGAGGAGAGCGGAAUUCCCGGUGUAGUGGUGGAAUGCGUAGAUAUCGGGAGGAACACCAGUGGCGAAAGCGGCUCUCUGGUUCAAUACUGACACUGAGAUGCGAAAGCGUGGGGAGCGAACGGGAUUAGAUACCCCGGUAGUCCACGCUGUAAACGAUGGAUACUAGGUGUAGGCGGUCAUUAACCCCGUCUGUGCCGAAGCCAACGCGUUAAGUAUCCCGCCUGGGGACUACGGCCGCAAGGUUA
rnacentral:rRNA from 1 species